rnacentral:rRNA from 1 species
GACGAAGGGGGCUAGCGUUGUUCGGAAUACUGGGCGUAAAGCGCGUGUAGGCGGUUGUUCAAGUCAGGUGUGAAAGCCUUGAGCUCAACUCAAGAAAUGCACUUGAUACUGGAUGACUAGAGGACCGGAGAGGAUAGUGGAAUUCCCAGUGUAGUGGUGAAAUACGUAGAGAUUGGGAAGAACACCAGUGGCGAAGGCGGCUAUCUGGACGGUUUCUGACGCUAAGACGCGAAAGCGUGGGGAGCAAACAGG